UACGUAGGGACCGAGCGUUGUCCGGAAUCAUUGGGCGUAAAGAGCGUGUAGGCGGCUUGCUAAGUCUUGCGUGAAAGCUCGGGGCUCAACCCCGAGUCGGCCGUGCGAACUGCUGGGCUUGAGCACUGUAGAGGCAGGCGGAAUUCCGGGUGUAGCGGUGGAAUGCGUAGAGAUCCGGAAGAACACCGGUGGCGAAGGCGGCGCUCUGGGCCGAUACUGACGCUGAGGAGCGAAAGCGUGGGGAGCGAACAGG
rnacentral:rRNA from 1 species